ensembl:lncRNA
GAUAAGGAAGGAAGGAUAGGAUAGGAGGAUAAAGAAGGGUAGGAUAGGAGGAUAAGGAAGGAAGGAUAGGAUAGGAGGAUAAAGAAGGGUAGGAUAGGAGCAUAAGGAAGGAUAGGAUAGGAGGAUAAGGAAGGAAGGAUAGGAUAUGAGGAUAAAGAAGGGUAGGAUAGGAGGAUAAGGAAGGAAGGGUAGGAUAGGAGGAUAAGGAAGGAAGGGAUAGGAGGAUAAGGAAGGAUUGGAUAGGUAGGGUAAGGAAGGAUAAGGAGAGGUAGGAUAGGAGGAUAAGGAAGGGUAGGAUAGGAGGAUAAGGAAGGAUAUGGAAAGGAAGGAUUGGAUAGGAGGAUAAAGAAGUGUAGGAUAGGAGGAUAAGGAACGAAGGAUAGGAUAAGGAGAGGUAGGAUAGGAGGAUAAGGAAGGAAUCAACAGUAACACACUCAUCAGUAAUCCUCAGGCUCGGCUGCGCGCACACACAUGUACACACAAAACAGGCUGAUCUUAUCAGUGGCAGCCAUAGGGUUGCUGUAAUAACCCUGCUGAGGGUGGAGGGUUUGUGUGUUAGUGCUGCGUGUGUUAGUGCUGCGUGUGUUAGUGCUGCGUGUGUUAGUGCUGCGUGUGUUAGUGCUGCGUGUGUUAGUGCUGCGUGUGUUAGUGCUACGUGUGUUAGUUGUGCGUGUGUUUGUGUGCGUGUUUGUGCGCAUGCUUGUGUUUGUGCGCGUGUUUGUGCGCGUGUGCACAAAGUAGUGGUGCUGGAGGUGCUGCAGCACCCCCCUGAUAAAUUGAAAUAAUUUAGC